GAUGAAGAACGCAGCGAAAUGCGAUAAGUAAUGUGAAUUGCAGAAUUCAGUGAAUCAUCGAAUCUUUGAACGCACAUUGCGCCCGCCAGUAUUCUGGCGGGCAUGCCUGCUCGAGCGUCAUUACAACCCUCAGGCCCCCGGGCCUGGCGUUGGGGAUCGGCAGAAGCCCCCUGUGGGCACACGCCGUCCCUCAAAUACAGUGGCGGUCCCGCCGCAGCUUCCAUUGCGUAGUAGCUAACACCUCGCAACUGGAGAGCGGCGCGGCCAUGCCGUAAAACACCCAACUUCUGAAUGUUGACCUCGAAUCAGGUAGGAAUACCCGCUGAACUUAAGCAUAUCAAUAAGCGGAGGA
rnacentral:misc_RNA from 1 species